rnacentral:rRNA from 1 species
CCUACGGGGGGCAACAGUGGGGAAUAUUGGACAAUGGGCGCAAGCCUGAUCCAACCAUGCCGCGUGAGUGAUGAAGGCCCUAGGGUUGUAAAGCUCUUUUGUGCGGGAAGAUAAUGACGGUACCGCAAGAAUAAGCCCCGGCUAACUUCGUGCCAGCAGCCGCGGUAAUACGAAGGGGGCUAGCGUUGCUCGGAAUCACUGGGCGUAAAGGGUGCGUAGGCGGGUCUUUAAGUCAGGGGUGAAAUCCUGGAGCUCAACUCCAGAACUGCCUUUGAUACUGAGGAUCUUGAGUUCGGGAGAGGUGAGUGGAACUGCGAGUGUAGAGGUGAAAGUCGUAGAUAUUCGCAAGAACACCAGUGGCGAAGGCGGCUCACUGGCCCGAUACUGACGCUGAGGCACGAAAGCGUGGGGAGCAAACAGGAUUAGAUACCCUUGUAGUC